rnacentral:rRNA from 1 species
GACGAACGCUGGCGGCGUGCUUAACACAUGCAAGUCGAGCGGAAAGGCCCUGCUUUUGUGGGGUGCUCGAGUGGCGAACGGGUGAGUAACACGUGAGUAACCUGCCCUUGACUUUGGGAUAACUUCAGGAAACUGGGGCUAAUACCGGAUAGGAGCUCCUGCUGCAUGGUGGGGGUUGGAAAGUUUCGGCGGUUGGGGAUAGACUCGCGGCUUAUCAGCUUGUUGGUGGGGUAGUGGCUUACCAAGGCUUUGACGGGUAGCCGGCCUGAGAGGGUGACCGGCCACAUUGGGACUGAGAUACGGCCCAGACUCCUACGGGAGGCAGCAGUGGGGAAUAUUGCACAAUGGGCGGAAGCCUGAUGCAGCAACGCCGCGUGCGGGAUGACGGCCUUCGGGUUGUAAACCGCUUUCGCCUGUGACGAAGCGUGAGUGACGGUAAUGGGUAAAGAAGCACCGGCUAACUACGUG